UCGUGCGCGAACGCAACGUAGCGGUUUGCGAGAAUUCCAUCAACGUGAACGCGCCUCACUUGUUUCAAUUCGAUGCCGUCAGCUUGUUAGAACAUUGUGUGUUAUUAUGAAUUGUUCUAAUUAGGUAUGGCGGUCCAUACUGAUAAAACAGUAGCUUCAUCAAUUACCGUUCUAGUGAGCAUUUUGUCUGUUCGCGCGUUCUCCCAGUGAAGCAGGUGUUCUCUGAUUGGGCUCAACGCUCAACUAUCAUUUAGUACUGGUAGAUUAUGCACAUUGCAAAUGUGUGUGUAAAGUGUCCACAAAUAGUGCAGGAGGAGUUCAAUGCAGUGAUCUUUGUUGUAGAAACAUCAACUCCAAAUGGGCAGUAAUAGCGGCAUAAAUGAAAUAGGCAUGCAGGCGAAGCCGGGGCGGAAGCUAGUUGUCGAUAUUUUAAGUGCAAACCAACUGAAAAUGUGGCAAGCGCAUUCGGGUGCAGUGCAGAGACGCGGCGACCGGUCGCGCGCAGUGGAGGAACCCGGAACAGACCGCCUUGCCUCAAGGCCGCACGUGUACGUGCAAGCUGUGAAUUAGAAGACAAAAAAUGAGGAUAACUUGUUGAAUUAACAUACGAAACCAAACCAGCGGCGGCCCACUCGUAAGAAACCGGUAAUUCACUUG
rnacentral:misc_RNA from 1 species